AACGAACGCUGGCGGCAUGCCUAACACAUGCAAGUCGAACGAGACCUUCGGGUCUAGUGGCGCACGGGUGCGUAACGCGUGGGAACCUGCCCUUAGGUUCGGAAUAACUCCCCGAAAGGGGUGCUAAUACCGGAUAAUGUCUUCGGACCAAAGAUUUAUCGCCUUUGGAUGGGCCCGCGUUGGAUUAGCUAGUUGGUAGGGUAAAAGCCUACCAAGGCGACGAUCCAUAGCUGGUCUGAGAGGAUGAUCAGCCACACUGGGACUGAGACACGGCCCAGACUCCAACGGGAGGCAGCAGUGGGGAAUAUUGGACAAUGGGCGAAAGACUGAGACAGCAAUGCCGCGUGAGUGAUGAAGGCCUUAGGGUUGGAAAGCUCUUUUACCCGGGAGGAUAAUGACAGUACCGGGAGAAUAAGCUCCGGCUAACUCCGUG
rnacentral:rRNA from 1 species